rnacentral:tRNA from 1 species
GUACAUCCUGGCCGGCGUUCGCGGCUUCCCUGGCGGGGGCGCGGCAACGGCAGCCUGGGCGGUCGUUGAGGCCGGGGCUCAGAUCCGGCGGCUGCGCA